UUAAGCGACUAAGCGUACACGGUGGAUGCCCUGGCAGUCAGAGGCGAUGAAGGACGUGCUAAUCUGCGAAAAGCGUCGGUAAGGUGAUAUGAACCGUUAUAACCGGCGAUGUCCGAAUGGGGAAACCCAGUGCAAUUCGUUGCACUAUCGUUAACUGAAUACAUAGGUUAACGAGGCGAACCGGGGGAACUGAAACAUCUAAGUACCCCGAGGAAAAGAAAUCAACCGAGAUUCCCCCAGUAGCGGCGAGCGAACGGGGAGCAGCCCAGAGUCUGAAUCAGCUUGUGUGUUAGUGGAACGGUCUGGAAAGUCCGACGGUACAGGGUGAUAGUCCCGUACACCAAAAUGCACAGGCUGUGAACUCGAAGAGUAGGGCGGGACACGUGGUAUCCUGUCUGAAUAUGGGGGGACCAUCCUCCAAGGCUAAAUACUCCUGACUGACCGAUAGUGAACCAGUACCGUGAGGGAAAGGCGAAAAGAACCCCGGCGAGGGGAGUGAAAAAGAACCUGAAACCGUGUACGUACAAGCAGUGGGAGCACCUUCGGGUGUGACUGCGUACCUUUUGUAUAAUGGGUCAGCGACUUAUAUUCUGUAGCAAGGUUAACCGUAUAGGGGAGCCGCAGGGAAACCGAGUCUUAACUGGGCGUUAAGUUGCAGGGUAUAGACCCGAAACCCGGUGAUCUAGCCAUGGGCAGGUUGAAGGUUGGGUAACACUAACUGGAGGACCGAACCGACUAAUGUUGAAAAAUUAGCGGAUGACUUGUGGCUGGGGGUGAAAGGCCAAUCAAACCGGGAGAUAGCUGGUUCUCCCCGAAAGCUAUUUAGGUAGCGCCUCGUGAACUCAUCUUCGGGGGUAGAGCACUGUUUCGGCUAGGGGGUCAUCCCGACUUACCAACCCGAUGCAAACUACGAAUACCGAAGAAUGUUAUCACGGGAGACACACGGCGGGUGCUAACGUCCGUCGUGAAGAGGGAAACAACCCAGACCGCCAGCUAAGGUCCCAAAGUCAUGGUUAAGUGGGAAACGAUGUGGGAAGGCACAGACAGCCAGGAUGUUGGCUUAGAAGCAGCCAUCAUUUAAAGAAAGCGUAAUAGCUCACUGGUCGAGUCGGCCUGCGCGGAAGAUGUAACGGGGCUAAACCAUGCACCGAAGCUGCGGCAGCGACACUAUGUGUUGUUGGGUAGGGGAGCGUUCUGUAAGCCUGCGAAGGUGUGCUGUGAGGCAUGCUGGAGGUAUCAGAAGUGCGAAUGCUGACAUAAGUAACGAUAAAGCGGGUGAAAAGCCCGCUCGCCGGAAGACCAAGGGUUCCUGUCCAACGUUAAUCGGGGCAGGGUGAGUCGACCCCUAAGGCGAGGCCGAAAGGCGUAGUCGAUGGGAAACAGGUUAAUAUUCCUGUACUUGGUGUUACUGCGAAGGGGGGACGGAGAAGGCUAUGUUAGCCGGGCGACGGUUGUCCCGGUUUAAGCAUGUAGGCUGAUUGUCCAGGCAAAUCCGGAUAAUCAAGGCUGAGGUGUGAUGACGAGGCACUACGGUGCUGAAGUAACAAAUGCCCUGCUUCCAGGAAAAGCCUCUAAGCAUCAGGUAACAUCAAAUCGUACCCCAAACCGACACAGGUGGUCAGGUAGAGAAUACCAAGGCGCUUGAGAGAACUCGGGUGAAGGAACUAGGCAAAAUGGUGCCGUAACUUCGGGAGAAGGCACGCUGGUGUGUAGGUGAAGUCCCUGCGGAUGGAGCUGAGACCAGUCGAAGAUACCAGCUGGCUGCAACUGUUUAUUAAAAACACAGCACUGUGCAAACACGAAAGUGGACGUAUACGGUGUGACGCCUGCCCGGUGCCGGAAGGUUAAUUGAUGGGGUUAUCCGUAAGGAGAAGCUCUUGAUCGAAGCCCCGGUAAACGGCGGCCGUAACUAUAACGGUCCUAAGGUAGCGAAAUUCCUUGUCGGGUAAGUUCCGACCUGCACGAAUGGCGUAAUGAUGGCCAGGCUGUCUCCACCCGAGACUCAGUGAAAUUGAACUCGCUGUGAAGAUGCAGUGUACCCGCGGCAAGACGGAAAGACCCCGUGAACCUUUACUAUAGCUUGACACUGAACAUUGAGCCUUGAUGUGUAGGAUAGGUGGGAGGCUUUGAAGCGUGGACGCCAGUCUGCGUGGAGCCAACCUUGAAAUACCACCCUUUAAUGUUUGAUGUUCUAACGUUGGCCCCUGACCGGGGUUGCGGACAGUGUCUGGUGGGUAGUUUGACUGGGGCGGUCUCCUCCCAAAGCGUAACGGAGGAGCACGAAGGUUAGCUAAUCCUGGUCGGACAUCAAACAUUAAAGGGUG
rnacentral:rRNA from 1 species